rnacentral:rRNA from 1 species
UCGACUGUUUACCAAAAACAUAGCCUUACUAUACAUAUGUAAGGUGAAACCUGCUCAAUGGUUGUCAAUAAUUACAUAAAAACAAUUAAAUAGCCGCGGUAACUCUGACCGUGAUAAAGUAGCAUAAUCACUCGUCAUUUAAUUGGUGACUGGAAUGAAUGGUUACACGAAUCUUUAACUGUCUCAAGAAGAAAGUUCAAUUAAUUUGAAAAAACAGUGAAGAUGCUGUUAACAAAAUUGUAAGACGAAAAGACCCUUUCGAGCUUUACUAUAAGCUUAUAGAAAAAAUCUUUAAUAAAAAUAUAAUAAAAACAAACUGUAAGCUAGUUAGUUUGGUUGGGGCGACCACCUCUAAAACAGUAUCAGAGGAAAUCUAAAGGUAUAAUAGUAAUAUUAAUUGCCUUACUGUAUACAAACAAGUUAAUCAGUUACUAUUAUGUAGGAUAUAAUGACCCGUUGAAUUAAUUUCAAAAUUCAACGACCAUGAAAAAAGUUACCGUAGGGAUAACAGGGUAAUAUUAUCAAAGAGUUCAUAUCGAUGAUGAUGUUUGCCACCUCGAUGUUGAAUUGUGAUAUCCUGAGGGUGUAGCAGCUCUCAAGGGUCGGUCUGUUCGACCGUUAAAAUCUUACAUGAUUUGAGUUCAUUCCGU